UACGUGGGUCGCUCAGUCAGCUAAAUGUCCGACUCUUGAUUUUUCCUCAGGUCAUGAUCUUAGGGUGGUGAGAUUGAGCCUGCAUCAGACUCCACCCUGGGCCUGGAGCCUGCUUAAGAUUGUCUUUCUCCUUUUCUUUCUGUCUCCCACCCCCAACUUGGGUGCUCUCUUCCUUUCUCUCUCUCUCUCUCAAAAAAAAAAAAAAAAAAAAAGGAAAAAAUGGUACUACUUCACACUCACUAGACUGAUGUAGAGAACUCAGAACUCUCAUCAACUGUUAGUGAAAAUGUAAAACGGAGUAGCCACUUUGGAAAACAGUUUGGCAUUUCUUCAAAAAGUUAUAUAUAAAAGUUAAACAGAGUCCAUUCCUAGGUAUAUGAUACUUGAGAGAAUUGAAAACUGAUGUCCACACAAAAAUGUGUAGAGGAUUGUUCAUGGCAGCAUCAUUCAUAAUAGUCAGAAAGUGGAAACAACUGAUGAAUGGAUAAAUAAAAGACUUAAUAUCCGUAGAAUGAAAUACUAUUCAGUCAUAAAAAGGAAUGUAGUACUAAAAAAUGCUACAGAAUGGAUGAAUCUUAAAAACAUUGUGCUAAGUGAAAGAAGCAAGACUCCAUUUGUAUGAUGUUUCCGUAAUGGAAAAAUCCAUAUAGACAGAAAGAAAUGAUUGACAAGAGCUGGGGAAAGAUGGGAAUAAUGGUUAGUACUAAUGAGUAUGAUUUCUUUUUGGUGUGAUGAAAAUAUUCUGGAACUAGAUAUUCGUAUUGGCUGCACAACCUUUGAAUAUACUAAAAACGACAGAAUUGUGUGCUUGAAAAGAGUGGAUUUUAUCUCAGCUUAACAAUGGAAUACGCUUCAUACGCUAAUUCACACAUAGGCCCUUGGGCAUUCUAACUAAGCACGCAUGUUACCUGAAAACCAGACUUGGUCAUUUCCCAAUAACGUGGUCAAAUGAAACAGAUUACAUAACUGCUCUGUGGGAUCGUUUCCUCAUCUGGAAAAUGGAGGCAAUGAUACUGCCUACUUCCUCAUAGGGUUAGGCUUUGUGACGAUUAAUGAAGAAAUCCAAGGAAAUACUUUAGCACAAUGUAUAGCACAUAGAGCUCAAUAUUAGCUUGUAUUCUUUUUCUUAAAUACCAGUUCAGGUCAUUUCAGAAGUGCUGAAAGACAUAGAACACUGUAUGAAUCAGGAGGUCAUGAGGCAAUUAAGGAUGGGAAAGCAGUUUCAAUACCUUGUCAGUAAAAGGGGAUAUUGUAGGUAAACCAAGCUCUUUAACAUUCCCUCUGUUCCCCAAGCCUGUUUUCUUCUUCAUAGCACCUAUUAUCUUUAUGUUUGUUAUUUGUCUCUCUCUCCCCAGGAGAAUGUAAACAUUAUCAGUGUAGAACUUUAGUUUUGUUCAGUGCUCUUCCUGGCAUCUAGAAAACAAGGCAGGGCCCAUAGUAGGUGCUCAACAGGUAUUUGUGAGGGUACAGAAUAAAAGAAUGUGAGAAGGCAACUGGGGAGACCACUAUUGAGAUGAUGUGGGGUCUUAGUUCCUGUUUAAAUCUGGGGCAGGUAUCUUAUUAUCAACAAUUCCAGAGCUGAGACUGGGAAGCUGGAGCUUUACCAGUUUAUCACAGGCUUUGCCAUGGACUAAAUUGUGUCCUAAAGUUCGUAUGUUGAAGUCUUAACCCCCAAUAUAAUGAUAUUUAUAGAUGGAAUUCAUGGGAGGUAAUUAGGUUAGAGGAGAUCAUAGGGUGAGGCUCUCAUGAAGGGAUUAGUGACUUCAUAUGAAGGGCAAGAAAGAAGAGAUAGCUCUCUGCCUUGUGAGAAGACAGAAAAAAGUAGCCAUCUGCAAGCUAAGAAGAGAGUUCUCACCAGGAAUUGAAUUGGUCAACACCUU
rnacentral:lncRNA from 1 species